AGGACCUGGACCUUUCCCCGGACUCUUGGACCUUUGGGGGGGGGGAGGGAAGUUGGUGGAGUACCGGGCAGCGCUGCUGGCCUCCCAUGGCAUCGCCUCGAUGGCCCUCGACUACCUCACACCUCAAAUCACUAAGGAAACUGGGAAAAUGGUGGACAAUGAUUACUUUGAGACGGCCUAUAGAGUUCUGGAGCAACACCCUCAGAUCCUCGGCAGCAGGAUCGCAAUGUUGGGUCUUUCCUUUGGCACCAGUGUCACUUUCAAAAUGGCUGUUUACUCCCAGGUUGUGAAGGUAGGACCAGCUUAGUGAAUUUCAUCAUAUUGACGCAGAUUUUUACAAUUUGUUGUAUUUAGUCUGUUCAUGUCAUAUAAACUGCAUACCGUCAAUAUGCGCCAACUAUAAGAGCUUGUCUCUACCACGGACGUGUAAAGAUUGUUACCAUGUUUGAGAACACUAUAUUUCAAAACGUUUUUCUUCACUUGUCACUUUAUGGGGUCUUUGACUUUAUGGUUGAAGAUAAGGGUUACUAACUAACUAACUCUAGCUUCAACGCGGAACUGGAACAGAACACAUUUUUGUGGUGAAUGGGUAAAAGGCCCUCUCGAAUGCCAUCUGACACAGCUCUGUUUACUUGACCGGAUCUGAGGAACUCAUUGAGGUCAGUUAAGCUUUUUAAAACACUGGAAUUACACUAGUUUUUAUUCUCUAGUAGCCAGCCAGCUCUAUAAACAUCCUGACCUCUUUUCUUCUGGUUUGAGCGUUGGGCAGGCUGAAAUACCGUAGGUCUUUUCAACCUGUGGCUGCACCUGCCCGCCCCCCAUGUGCUAUCCCAAAUACCUUAGCCCCCUUUGCCCAACUGCACCCUUUGUUAGUUGGCUCCAUUUGGUCCAUAUGCUGCUUCGACGUCUCAACAACAACCUGAAUGGAAGUGCCACAAAUUAGUAAAAACUGUACGGAGUGGAAUAAGGCCUAGCUGAUCUAGGAAAGCUUCAACUCGGGCCAUCAGAUAAGCAUUGAAUUGAUGCUUAUCUGAUGGCCUUAUUGAUAGUCAACACAGAACCAAGUUGACCUAACAGACUUGCGUGCCAGCACAAUGGUCACUGUUGGACUCUUCUGCUACCCCUCAUUCUAGAUUGGCUUGAAGCUCUUCCUGAACACUUUUCCUCUUGUGUUCAUGCAGCUGAUAGUGGAGUGAACGCAUUGAGUUGCCCGGGGCGUUUCUAUGUCGUGUUCUUUGGGAGUCACAUAUCGGAAAACUGCCUUUGGAACAAAAAAAACCGUCUGCUUUCUGGCCCGGUGAGAGAUUGUUGUCACAACAAACAGGGACUGAUUUAUCAGUUUUUGUUAGCUCCAGUUCCAACUCACCUCUCUCUCCAUCACCCUAGAGGGGAAAGUCCUCCUAAGGACCGAACAAAAA